rnacentral:pre_miRNA from 1 species
AUGCCCGCUGUCCCUUAUGGCUUUUUAUUCCUAUCUGACUGUAGUGAGUUUCAUAUAGGGAUGGAAGCCAUGCAGGACUGAGGGCCCG